rnacentral:lncRNA from 1 species
AUAGGGUGAAGCCGGUGUACAAGUCAUAAACGAUUGGAGCCCACCACGGUGGAAGGCCUACGAAAGAGUGUUCAAAGCACUCUCACGCUUAUCAACUUAAUAAUGGUUUGGUUGAGGGUUUUAGGUCUCAUCAUAUAUAAAUAUUCAUUUUAAUCUUUAUUAAAACAAUUUUGGUCCUAUUACAACUAUUGGUCCAUUUGAUUGAAUU